UACGUAGGGGGCAAGCGUUGUCCGGAAUCAUUGGGCGUAAAGAGCGUGUAGGCGGUCCGGUAAGUCGGCUGUGAAAGUCCAGGGCUCAACCCUGGGAUGCCGGUCGAUACUGCCGGACUAGAGUUCGGAAGAGGCGAGUGGAAUUCCCGGUGUAGCGGUGAAAUGCGCAGAUAUCGGGAGGAACACCAAUGGCGAAGGCAGCUCGCUGGGACGUUACUGACGCUGAGACGCGAAAGCGUGGGGAGCGAACAGG
rnacentral:rRNA from 1 species